ACCACCCUGAACGUGCCCAAUCUCGUCUGAUCUUGUGAAGCUAAGCAGGGUCCGGCCUGGUUAGUACUUGGAUUUCAACCACCUUGAUUUCAUAUCUCUGGCCUCAAGAACCGUGGAA
rnacentral:rRNA from 1 species